UGGAACUGUGGUGUGCUCAAUUGAAA
rnacentral:piRNA from 1 species